GAGUUUGAUCAUGGCUCAGAUUGAACGCUGGCGGCAUGCCUUACACAUGCAAGUCGAACGGCAGCACGGGAGCUUGCUCCUGGGUGGCGAGUGGCGAACGGGUGAGUAAUGCAUCGGAACGGUAUCCUGGAGUGGGGGAUAACGUAGCGAAAGUUACGCUAAUACCGCAUAUUCUGUGAGCAGGAAAGCGGGGGACCUUCGGGCCUCGC
rnacentral:rRNA from 1 species